AGUUCGAUCAUGGCUCAGGAUGAACGCUGGCGGCAUGCCUAAUACAUGCAAGUCGAACGGAGUGAAGCCUUCGGGUUUCAUUCAGUGGCGAACGGGUGAGUAAUACGCAGGGAACCUGGCCAUGGCAGGGGGAUACACUCUGGAAACGGAGCAUAAGACCCCAUAGGCAGUAAGGCGGCAUCGCCUUACUGUUAAAGAAAGCUGAAAGGCUUUGGCGAUGGAUGGACCUGCGGUGCAUUAGCUUGUUGGUGAGGCAACGGCUUACCAAGGCGAUGAUGCAUAGCCGGCCUGAGAGGGCGGACGGCCACACUGGGACUGAGACACGGCCCAGACUCCUGCGGGAGGCAGCAGUAGGGAAUUUUCGUCAAUGGGCGCAAGCCUGAACGAGCAAUGCCGCGUGAGUGAGGAAGGUCUUCGGACUGUAAAGCUCUGUUGCCGGGGAAAAAGGGGAAAUGCAGGAAAUGGCAUUUCAUGGAUAGUACCCGGCCAGAAAGCCACGGCUAACUACGUGCCAGCAGCCGCGGUAAUACGUAGGUGGCGAGCGUUAUCCGGAAUGAUUGGGCGUAAAGGGUGCGCAGGCGGUCUGUUGAGUCUGAAGGCAAAGGGAUGAGCUCAACUCAUUUAUGAUUCAGAAACUGGCAGACUUGAGGACAGGAGAGGGCGGUGGAACUCCAUGUGUAGCGGUAAAAUGCGCAGAGAUAUGGAAGAACACCAGUGGCGAAGGCGGCCGCCUGGCCUGUGACUGACGCUGAGGCACGAAAGCGUGGGGAGCAAAUAGGAUUAGAUACCCUAGUAGUCCACGCCGUAAACGAUGAGGAGCAGGUGUUGGGAGUGAAAUCUCAGUGCCGAAGCCAACGCAGUGACUCCUCCGCCUGGGGAGUAUGCACGCAAGUGUGAAACUCAAAGGAAUUGACGGGGGCCCGCACAAGCGGUGGAGUAUGUGGUUUAAUUCGAAGCAACGCGAAGAACCUUACCAGGUUUUGACAUCGGAUGCGAAGGUGCAGAGAUGCGCUGGAGGUUAACAUCCAGACAGGUGGUGCAUGGUUGUCGUCAGCUCGUGUCGUGAGAUGUUCAGUUAAGUCUGGCAACGAGCGCAACCCCCGUGGUAUGUUACUAACGCUUAGGGCGAGGACUCAUAUCAGACUGCCGGUGACAAACCGGAGGAAGGCGGGGAUGACGUCAAAUCAUCAUGCCCCUUAUGACCUGGGCUACACACGUACUACAAUGGCGUCUACAGAGGGAAGCGACCCUGAGAAGGGAAGCGAAACCGGAAAAGGGCGUCCCAGUUCGGAUUGAAGUCUGCAACCCGACUUCAUGAAGAUGGAAUCGCUAGUAAUCGCGGAUCAGCAUGCCGCGGUGAAUACGUUCCCGGGCCUUGUACACACCGCCCGUCAAACCAUGGAAGCCGGCAACGCCCGAAGCCGGUGGCAUAACCUUUUAGGAGUGAGCCGUCGAAGGCGGGGCCGAUGACUGGGGUUAAGUCGUAACAAGGUACCC
rnacentral:rRNA from 1 species